rnacentral:rRNA from 1 species
CCGUAGGCGGGCCUGUAAGUCAGGGGUGAAAGUUUGUGGCUCAACCAUAAAAUUGCCUUUGAUACUGCAGGUCUUGAGUCAUGGUGGGGUUGCCGGAACAUGUGGUGUAGCGGUGAAAUGCAUAGAUAUCACAUAGAACACCGAUCGCGAAGGCAGGUGACCAACCAUGUACUGACGCUGAUGGACGAAAGCGUGGGUAGCGAACGGGAUUAGAUACCCCGGUAGUCCACGCCGUAAACGAUGGAUACUAGCUGUGGGGACUUCGGUCUCCGUGGCCAAGCGAAAGUGAUAAGUAUCCCACCUGGGGAGUACGUUCGCAAGAAUGAAACUCAAAGGAAUUGACGGGGGCCCGCACAAGCGGUGGAGCAUGUGGUUUAAUUCGAUGAUACGCGAGGAACCUUACCAGGGCUUAAAUGCAGGCUGCAUGGGGUAGAGAUACCCCUUUCUUCGGACCGCCUGCAAGGUGCUGCAUGGUUGUCGUCAGCUCGUGCCGUGAGGUGUCAGGUUAAGUCCUAUAACGAGCGCAACCCCUACCGUUAGUUGCCAGCAUGUCAAGAUGGGGACUCUAACGGGACUGCCGGUGCAAACCGUGAGGAAGGUGGGGACGACGUCAAAUCAUCACGGCCCUUACGUCCUGGGCUACACACGUGCUACAAUGGCCGGUACAGAGGGAAGCCACCCCGCAAGGGGGCGCGGAUCUACAAAACCGGUCACAGUUCGGAUCGGGGUCUGCAACUCGACCCCGUGAAGCUGGAAUCGCUAGUAAUCGGAUAUCAGCCAUGAUCCGGUGAAUACGUUCCCGGGCCUUGUACACACCGCCCGUCAAGCCAUGGAAGCCGGGAGUGCCUGAAGUCCGUCACCG